GACGAACGCUGGCGGCGUGCUUAACACAUGCAAGUCGAGCGGUAAGGCCCUUUCGGGGGUACACGAGCGGCGAACGGGUGAGUAACACGUGGGUGACCUGCCCUUAGCUCUGGGAUAAGCCUGGGAAACUGGGUCUAAUACCGGAUAUGACUCCAUGACGCAUGUUGUGGGGUGGAAAGCCUUGUGCGGCUAGGGAUGGGCCCGCGGCCUAUCAGCUUGUUGGUGGGGUGAUGGCCUACCAAGGCGACGACGGGUAGCCGGCCUGAGAGGGCGACCGGCCACACUGGGACUGAGACACGGCCCAGACUCCUACGGGAGGCAGCAGUGGGAAUCUUGCGCAAUGGGCGAAAGCCUGACGCAGCGACGCCGCGUGAGGGAUGACGGCCUCGGUU
rnacentral:rRNA from 1 species